GGUAUUCGCGUGCGCAAGUUGAGGGUUUCAUCACACGGAAGUUGAUCUAAAGUUGGUUGGAAAAUCGACAGACGCAAGUCUGUAAUACGGUUUUUGAAUGUCGAAUUACCAAUGUUUGAUAUAAAACCAACGUAACCACGGUGACCCUGACCACGUCGUCAAACCGAAACUGGAUGUGUUUGUGAAGGCUUGGGACUGACGGCAUAGCUAUUAUUUUGUUCCCACCGACCAAUACUGCCAUCCAAGAGGAGAAAGGCAACCAACACCAGAGGAACAAUUUAUCAUGAGUCACAGUCUGAACAUGGAAGGUACUGCUAAACAACAGCAGGAACACAAUAAUGACUGUCAGACGAACAAGACAGAACACUGGCUACUCAAAUUCGCUGAAAUGGUAGGACAGAGUAUCUGUCAGAAGCACAAAGACGAACUGGACCUCUGGAGGCCAACCUGUUUUUUUUGCGCUUGUCAAGAAGAUGAGCUAUUUCCCAAGCUAAUGCAGGUGUUUCUGAAGAAAAAAAUAACACCGUCUGGGGAAAAAGAUGGUGACGAGAGACAUUCUGAUGACAAGGAACCCUCCACUGCCUCUACCUCUCAAGAUAUCAUCAUGCAGAAUUUAAGCCUUGGCCAGAAAAGAAGUCUGCCUAAUGAGAAUGAUGGUGAAGUCCAAUCCACCGCCUCCGCCUCUGAAGUUCUUAGUAAGCAGAAUUUAAGCCUUGGCCAGAAAAGAAGUCGACCUAAUGAGGAUGAUGGUGAAGUCCACUCCACCGCCACCACCUCCACCUCUGAAGAUUCAUGGGUUCAUGUGGCCCGGUCAGAUUGUGAUGAAAUGCCUUCUGAAGACAAGCAAUACUCCACCACCUCUAACUCUGAAGGGCCUUCAGCGAAGACAUAUUACACUCUUGCUCCUGGAAAGUCGGCAGAAUACUCUAAGGAUAUCAAAACAUGGCUCAAACACCUGUCUGAAGUGAAAUCGAUACAGAGUUGUGAUAUGAUCCUGGCUACCUGCAUGGUUGUGUCUCGUGUUGGAACAGAUGUUGAAGCAGCACUGAAAGACAUCCCUGAAGCCAAGCCGACCAUUCUGGUGGUUAUGCACCAUACCUUUGAUCCUGAUUGUGUACUACCAGACAGCAGUAGGUUUACCAAAAGGGAGGACAUGCUCAUUGUGGACUGUCUGUUUAAUGAGGAUAAUGGAUUAUUGAGAUGUGAAAGAAAUGGCAUUGCACAAUCUACAAUGCUGAAAUGGAUCAACGCAAAGGUGUCCAUUAAAGAAACACCAUGGACUGUUUCCUCAUUCUUUGGUUGGUCCUGAUGUCUAUGAAGUGAUUUGAAGUCGGGCCUUGGAGGAUCCCAUGAUCAUCUUCUUAUGUUGUUUUUAUUGAAAUUGUUAAAAUAUUAAGAAGUGGAACAGAUGAAUAGCUACACAAAGCAUGACCCAGAGCGGUAACACUUUCUAUGCAGGCCAUGUCUAAUGAUUUAGGCAUAAAUUCAUAAUGCAAUUAUAUAAUGCUAUGCAAUAUAAUAUAAUGCAAUCAUAAGGUAUUGUAAUAAGUACAAACAAGCAUUAGACUCUAUAGCAAUGUCACUGUGCUGAUGCAUUUGAACAAUUUAUGAUUAGAGACUGCACAAGAUGGAAUAAUAGUUAGUUAUAGUUAUUUUUAAUGUAACAUAGCAUGUCUCUGCUAGCUUUAAGUGUAGUAUGAAAAUGUCCUUACCAGUAUUAAAUAGAAUAGGCAGGCAUAAGAUAAUAUAGACAAAAAAUAAAGUGAGACAUUUUGCUCAGGAGCAAAAAAAAAGCACAUUUUAUUCAUGUAACAUCAAUUUCAACAUUCUUUGUGCAGAAAAUAAAAACCAGUGCAUCCAAAUUACUUGCAUCUGUCUUAUUAAUGUAAUGUCAAUUUCAAUACACCCUAAAGCAACUGUUUGUUUUUUAUUUUAAAUUAUUUUCACACAUUGUGCUAUUGCUAUCCAUUAUGUUUACACAGGGUCUAGGUUCAACUUGAAACUGCAUUUCAAUAGUUCAAGCAUUUUUUUUAUAAAGCUAGCUCAUCACUGUAACAGCACCUUAAUGGCCAACAGAAAAAUACUGAAAGCAAUUGAGGUUUUAGUUAGAAAUUGGCCGUAGAUUACAGCAAUUUAAAUUACACUCUUUUCGCAAGAAGCAAAAAAGAUUCAGUUUUUCCGUGCAACUGUCGGUUACUACAACACCUAUGGAAAGUGGGUAAAGUUAUUAAGAUUAAAGACUCUUCCCAACGACAUUAGGUGGUUAUGCUCCUCUCAUUGCUUGUACUCACUGGCAAAUUAGCUAAUACAUCGAUCCUGAGAGCUUUUUUACAUCUUUUUUUUUAAAUACCUUAACUGUUAAUGGUGAGCAAGAACUUGGAGCUAAAUGCUGAUUGGCAGUCAAUGUGACAACAGAAUGAUUAGAAAUGUAAUAACACAGUAUUUCAUCAUGGUUGUUGAGCCUUUGUAUGCUAAUUAAAAUUCAAGUUAGAUUAUUUUGAUUCAAACAGAAAGGUCAAUACUUUUAUAAUACAGUUUUUCUCAGUUGCUUUGGUCAAUUUCUCAGAUCAGAAGCGAAAUUCUCAAAAAUCAUCUAGUCACUUUUGCACAUCAAACAUCAAUUUCUCAUUGUUUUGCACAUUUUGAAAAUACUUUUGCGCUACAAAAAAUCUACGUAUGUAUUCAGUGUCUACAUCAUGACAUGCAAAUGGUUUAAACCAGUUAUCAUUAUGUGUCAACUAUAUGCUUUAUCAGUUUCGGUGGCAUUGUGUUUUUGGUAUGGUACAGAUUAUUUAUUUAUUAUUGUGUUUCUUUUCUCCCUCAGGUUGACCUAGAAAGAGGCUGACCUGGUAACCAUAGCAACAACCAUAGCAAUGUAUUUAUACUUGAGAAAAGUAUUGACGACCUGUGCUGCAUUAACUGCCCCAGACAAUAUUGUUGCCCUCCUCCAACCUCAGCAGCUGGAGUGCAGAGGGCUGCUCAACCUGGGGCAGACCUGCUACCUAAACGCCACACUGCAGUGUCUGCUCCACCUGCAGCCUCUCUGCACUCAGCUGCUGGUGCAGGAGGAGGUGUGGAGGAUGGCGCCAGAGGCACUGCUGCUCAGGACUGGUACUCCUCAGAGGGUCCUGUGAAAUGGACAUGAAGGCAGCUGUACUACUGGAGUUCAAGGACCAAAUCUCCCUGCACAACCAGGAGUUUGAGGGGAACUCACAGAACGUGAGAACUUACGGCAUAUACAUGGACAGAAACAUACAAUGACUUAGCAAUGUCCACACAUGCACAUACCAUACAUAUGUGCAAGCUACAGUUAUUCGUUUAUCAAGCCCAGGAUCAUGGUGUGGUUAUGCCAGCUGAGGUAGAGGAGCAAUGCUGCCUCUUUUAUUAUUAUGCUUGUGUGACAUGUAUGGAUAUUCAUCUAUUUGUGUGUUUUAUAUCGGCAUUCAUGAGUAGGACGCCAAUGAGUUCCUCACAGAAUGUCUACUGCUGCUAAGGGUCAUCGGCCAGGCUCUGUUCUCCUUCCAGCUCCAGUAUAUAAGAACUUGCCAGAGCUGUGGAGUUGAGAGCAUGAGGGAUGAGGUUAACACCAUGCUCUCCCUCGACCUGGUUGUACAGGGAUCGAUAAGAGACAGCCUCCAGCUCUUUUUCACUGUACGUAUUACCACACACGUCUUACAAACAAACUCAUACACACACACACACACACACACACACACACACUUCACACUUGUUUUUAAUAUCCACAGGAAUCAAAUGUGUAGUUCCGAGUCAAGGCCGGAUUAACCAUUAGGACAACUGGACAACCCAGGGGCACAUGACAACAAAGGGGCCCUGGACAACGUCAACUAAAAUGUUAUAUCACGUUAUGAACGCAGUCCUUACUUUCCUUAAUGGUGUUGAUCCUCCACCUCAAGAGGUUCUGUCCCCUGACCCUCGCCAAACAACACCAGGCGCUUACACUGGACUCCAUUCUGGACCUGAGGACACUAGGGGAAAGGCCACUAUAUAGCCGACUGUGGGGAACAGCCAGACCAGUGGGUCACAUACAGUGACCACUCUGUCACAGUGAGAUCUGAGGAGGCCGUCCUCAAUAACAGGGAGAGGAUAGCCUACAUUCUUCUUUAUAUCAAAAAGGUAAUUUACACCAUCAGCCACAUCUUACGAUUACAUCUGUAUACAUAACCUCACAGGUAUCUUAAUAAUGAAUAAUAUUUCAAACAUUCCCCUCCCAUGAAGGUGUAUAGUAUAGUGCCUCACACACUGUUAGAAGCCUAUACCUAACACCUGUCUUUUUGCAUAAUGGUUCCUACAGAAGAGACACAAGGUAACUUGGAAACAGUUUUCUUCACACUCUUUUCACUGUGAUUUUCAUGUCAUGUUAGUGAUACGGAUUACCCCCCUCCCCACCCCGUCUGCCUUCUGCCCUCCCCCAUCAUCAUCAGGGGUAAAAGCUGUCAGCACCAGUCCAGCAAGCAAUGGGCGACCCAUUCAUAAAGGUCAAAUAAAAUUGUAUUAAAUCAAUGUCUACUGGAGAAUGCCUUCACUGUAUUGAGCACAUCAUUGGCAUCUUAAGCGACAGAUUUGCAGCAGGAUCAGUAUGAGUGCUCAUCACGUGAAAACAAAAUGACACAUUCCUCUGCACAUAAGGAUGAGAGACACGGUCACAUCACAGUUUAUCUAGGAAAGGGAAUUGAUAUAAGUUGAUUUAAAGUAACAGUAUGCAACAAUUGUACCUUAAAAUAACAGCUUGAAAAAAAUUGUGCCGCUACAAUGACUUUUAAUAUGGCGAUUUGCGCCUCCGCCAUUGCCAUCGGGGGUCUGUGGGGAAAUAACUCCGCUAUGUAGGAUUCUGGGGCCGCCCGAUCUGGGGCGGAUGUACUUCGACCUGCUUUCUGGCAGUGAUUACGCAAUGUCAUAUAGUGCCAGUCCACGCUCGCAGCUACAGUAUAAGGGAGAAGCAAGCGAAGUCUCAUCAGUAUUCAUCAUGGAGAACGCACCAAAGAAACGGAAGAAGACUAUGUCAGAUGAAGCAAAGAAGAGAAAAAGAGAGGCCGACAGAGCAAGAGAUCGGACUAGGGUCACAAUCGGAACAGCUUUUACUCGUUGGAGAGAGCUGAAAGACACAUUUGGAUACAAGUUCGAUUCACAGCUAGCCAUCUUUCUGCUGGAUUAGUAAGUAGUUUGUACUGUCUCUUGCUUGAUGUUUGACUGUGUUAUGAAAGUUGUUGACUCGCUAGUUUGUCAUACUCGAGGAAAGCACAUUUCAAUAGGUUUUGCUAGGCUUUAGGGUGACCAGAUUUGAGUUUGUAAAAAAGAGGACUUCGUCGCUGGGGGAGGGUGCGGGG
ensembl:lncRNA